rnacentral:snoRNA from 1 species
UGGCGGUGAUGACCAUCUUAGGACACCUUUGGAAUAACCAUGAAAAAAAAAUAGUUUGUUCUGAGCUGU